rnacentral:misc_RNA from 1 species
GAUGAAGAACGUAGCGAAAUGCGAUAAGUAAUGUGAAUUGCAGAAUUCAGUGAAUCAUCGAAUCUUUGAACGCACAUUGCGCCCUCCAGUAUUCUGGCGGGCAUGCCUGUUCGAGCGUCAUUUCAACCAUCAAGCCCCCGGCUUGUGUUGGGGACCUGCGGCUGCCGCAGGCCCUGAAAAGCAGUGGCGGGCUCGCUGUCACACCGAGCGUAGUAGCAUACAUCUCGCUCUGGGCGUGCUGCGGGUUCCGGCCGUAAAACCACCUUCAUAACCCAAGGUUGACCUCGGAUCAGGUAGGAAGACCCGCUGAACUUAAGCAUAUCAAUAAGCGGAGGA